rnacentral:rRNA from 1 species
CAGCAGCCACGGUAAUACAGAGGGUGCGAGCGUUAAUCGGAUUUACUGGGCGUAAAGCGUGCGUAGGCGGCUUUUUAAGUCGGAUGUGAAAUCCCUGAGCUUAACUUAGGAAUUGCAUUCGAUACUGGGAAGCUAGAGUAUGGGAGAGGAUGGUAGAAUUCCAGGUGUAGCGGUGAAAUGCGUAGAGAUCUGGAGGAAUACCGAUGGCGAAGGCAGCCAUCUGGCCUAAUACUGACGCUGAGGUACGAAAGCAUGGGGAGCAAACAGGAUUAGAGACCCGAGUAGUCCCCUGUCUCUUAUA